CAGCCGCCGCGGUAACACGUAGGGUGCGAGCGUUAAUCGGAAUUACUGGGCGUAAAGCGUGCGCAGGCGGUUCGUUAAGACAGAUGUGAAAUCCCCGGGCUUAACCUGGGAACUGCAUUUGUGACUGACGGGCUAGAGUAUGGCAGAGGGGGGUAGAAUUCCACGUGUAGCAGUGAAAUGCGUAGAGAUGUGGAGGAAUACCGAUGGCGAAGGCAGCCCCCUGGGCCAAUACUGACGCUCAUGCACGAAAGCGUGGGGAGCAAACAGGAUUAGAUACCCCAGUAGUCCCUGUCUCUUAUAC
rnacentral:rRNA from 1 species